rnacentral:lncRNA from 1 species
CGUCACGCGCCCUCUGCUCCGGCGCUGGCACGGCCGGGGCCGCAGCUCCCGGGGCUUUCGCGGGGGCGGCGGCGGGCAGGCGGCUGCGGGAGGGUCCCCAGCGGCCCGGCGUCCCCCAGUGCCGUCCCGCUCCGGAGCAGGGAUGGCUCCCCGCGAGCGACACGUUGCCCGGUGCCGCAGGAGCUCCCAGCCGGGGAAGAAGUYGCUCCUUCUGCUGGAGAUGGGUCACGAGAGCUGCCGGGCCAAAGCGCGUUGCGGACGCCAGCAAGUGCCCUGAACCGCUAACGGSAUUCAGAAGCUGUACCCGAAAACAAGGGGAACCGAGCGCAGGCGCAGGCAGGGACCUGCAGCGUGUUCCUCCUCCAGGCCGGGCCGGGGCAGGGGGGACUUAAGCCCUGCCCUCUGGASCCGCCGGACCAGGCGGGAGGCAGCCGGGCGUUUCUGAGACGCCGCCGAGGCCCUGGCACAGCUGUGCCUCCCCGAAACUCGCCGUCUGAUGCCGCGCGUAUGGGGAGCCAGGCGCGGCCCGGGCAUCGCUGCCGCGGUGCCGGGGCCGACCGGGGCACGCGCGGGACUGAACGGGGACGGGAAGCGUUGGCGGCGGACGGCGCCGCAGCGGGAGCGCAGCCAGCCCGGCCGCGUGCACCGCUCGGGCUCCUCACCGAGCAGCACCCGCGGGCACAGGCAUCCGCGCUUCUGUAGGGAACACAACCCACUGCAACGGGGGACAGGCGGACGCACCCAAGGCAUCAGCAAGGGAAGGAGCGGCUGAGCAGAGCGUCCCUCCCAGCGCCCCUGCCUUGCUGAUGCGGCUGAGAAGCGCCGCAGCAAACCACAGCCGAGCGUGUUGCUGUCUCCCCCAAAUACUUUCUCUGACGAGGCUUUUCAACAGUUUUGCCCCGCCGGCGCCGGCGAGCGGAAGCCGAGGUGGGACCGCUGUGUGCCGCGGCGGGACGCCCAGGCCCUGCGAGGAGGCGCGACGUUCGCGGGCGGAACCGCUGCGCCGGGGGGGAGCACCCGCUCUCGCCUCUCCUCCCUGGAAACCCCCCCGGCGCCCAGAGGUCCCGCUCGCGAGCCCCCACCGAGGAGCCCUCGCUCUCCAGACAGACACGAAAACGAUCUUUCGACUGAAGAUGAUGAAGACGAAUAACCAUCUGGCGAGAAGCAGCCGCGGACCCACGUUUUAUGGRGGCCAAUAUCGGGGAAUUUCCUCCUCUUUGUAAAAAAAUGGCCCGCGCUCUUUGACAACCAAGCGAUGAGACCCUUGGGGGGUUUCUGUCACCGAGUUUGUUAAAUUUGCACUCCCCUGCUUCCGACUAUCCUGUGCCUCCGGGCUGGGGGGGGGGCAUCUCAUGAACCUCAAGCCCACCUCACUGCCCCCACAAAGCAGCCCUCCAAAACCUCCUUUUUCCCCUACGGGAAAGAGUGACGAGGGGCAGGGAGCCCCGUGAACCCGCGGCAUCUUCUUGUGCCUUUGCCCAGCUGCCUCAGCCGCGGCGGUCGCACUGACGGCUGCAACGAGGCCAUCGGGUAAUUAGGAAUAGCACGUCGAAAUAAAAAAAACCCACGGCAUAAACA